UUUACAAGUUUCGCACGAAUGCGGGGGUGUCAGUCAAAGCGCGGCGGCCAUGCAUUAUAUUUUGAGAGUUCAAUCCGCCGUACGAACUGAAAGUCCAAAGAGAUUUGGGGUCCUGCCAACAGGAUCCUUCCACAUCCAGUCACCCGUGCAGACAGAGGGUACAGCAAUCGCCACCAACCACCAUACGAAACUUGGUCAACUGCGAGUUCAUCCCCGCGUCGAUGCAGCUGGCCAUAGACGCAUUCCUCCGAAUUCCAUUGGACCGCUCAGAAAGACCUAAAUGACAUAAAUUUCCAAUCGUUAAUGAGAAGAUUUGACAAUUUCUGGAGGAGCGCGGAUUGCGCUGCAAAGAUUUGACCGAGGCGCCUUAUUCGAGUUGUCUUCGCUGAUCUCUUUAGUAAAAGGCGAAAGAGAUGUAAGUUCCGUGGACAACUCAGCGCGGAUGCACUUAUCUACGUUCCAAGGCCAACCCAACUCACAGAAAGCUUGCGGCGCGCGUUCAUCCAAACGAUGGUGGGUCAAGUUAAAAAGAUGCUUGAUAGGUCCCAGCGUAUGUUCGUUUUUAUUAUGAUCCGUUGG
rnacentral:lncRNA from 1 species